GAUGAACGCUAGCGAUAGGCCUAACACAUGCAAGUCGAGGGGUAUAGGUUUUCGGACCUAGAGACCGGCGCACGGGUGCGUAACGCGUAUGCAAUCUACCUUUCACAGAGGGAUAGCCCAGAGAAAUUUGGAUUAAUACCUCAUAGUAUUAUAGAAUGGCAUCAUUUUAUAAUUAAAGUCACAACGGUGAAAGAUGAGCAUGCGUCCCAUUAGCUAGUUGGUAUGGUAACGGCAUACCAAGGCAACGAUGGGUAGGGGUCCUGAGAGGGAGAUCCCCCACACUGGUACUGAGACACGGACCAGACUCCUACGGGAGGCAGCAGUGAGGAAUAUUGGUCAAUGGGCACAAGCCUGAACCAGCCAUGCCGCGUGCAGGAUGACGGUCCUAUGGAUUGUAAACUGCUUUUGCACAGGAAGAAACAACGCUACGUGUAGCGUCUUGACGGUACUGUGAGAAUAAGGAUCGGCUAACUCCGUGCC
rnacentral:rRNA from 1 species